AGGGCGCUGGCUCAAUCGGUAGAGCACUGGACUCCAAAUCCGGGGGUUGGGGGUUCGAGUCCCUCGCGCCCUG
rnacentral:tRNA from 1 species